UUCCAAGUGCUUCUAUCCCCAAANUCAGCCC
rnacentral:piRNA from 1 species